rnacentral:rRNA from 2 species
AACGCUGGCGGCAGGCCUAACACAUGCAAGUCGAGCGGUAGCACAGAGAGCUUGCUCUCGGGUGACGAGCGGCGGACGGGUGAGUAAUGUCUGGGAAACUGCCUGAUGGAGGGGGAUAACUACUGGAAACGGUAGCUAAUACCGCAUAAUGUCGCAAGACCAAAGUGGGGGACCUUCGGGCCUCAUGCCAUCAGAUGUGCCCAGAUGGGAUUAGCUAGUAGGUGGGGUAACGGCUCACCUAGGCGACGAUCCCUAGCUGGUCUGAGAGGAUGACCAGCCACACUGGAACUGAGACACGGUCCAGACUCCUACGGGAGGCAGCAGUGGGGAAUAUUGCACAAUGGGCGCAAGCCUGAUGCAGCCAUGCCGCGUGUGUGAAGAAGGCCUUCGGGUUGUAAAGCACUUUCAGCGGGGAGGAAGGCGGUAAGGUUAAUAACCUCAUCGAUUGACGUUACCCGCAGAAGAAGCACCGGCUAACUCCGUGCCAGCAGCCGCGGUAAUACGGAGGGUGCAAGCGUUAAUCGGAAUUACUGGGCGUAAAGCGCACGCAGGCGGUCUGUCAAGUCGGAUGUGAAAUCCCCGGGCUCAACCUGGGAACUGCAUUCGAAACUGGCAGGCUAGAGUCUUGUAGAGGGGGGUAGAAUUCCAGGUGUAGCGGUGAAAUGCGUAGAGAUCUGGAGGAAUACCGGUGGCGAAGGCGGCCCCCUGGACAAAGACUGACGCUCAGGUGCGAAAGCGUGGGGAGCAAACAGGAUUAGAUACCCUGGUAGUCCACGCCGUAAACGAUGUCGAUUUGGAGGUUGUGCCCUUGAGGCGUGGCUUCCGGAGCUAACGCGUUAAAUCGACCGCCUGGGGAGUACGGCCGCAAGGUUAAAACUCAAAUGAAUUGACGGGGGCCCGCACAAGCGGUGGAGCAUGUGGUUUAAUUCGAUGCAACGCGAAGAACCUUACCUGGUCUUGACAUCCACAGAACUUUCCAGAGAUGGAUUGGUGCCUUCGGGAACUGUGAGACAGGUGCUGCAUGGCUGUCGUCAGCUCGUGUUGUGAAAUGUUGGGUUAAGUCCCGCAACGAGCGCAACCCUUAUCCUUUGUUGCCAGCGGUCCGGCCGGGAACUCAAAGGAGACUGCCAGUGAUAAACUGGAGGAAGGUGGGGAUGACGUCAAGUCAUCAUGGCCCUUACGACCAGGGCUACACACGUGCUACAAUGGCAUAUACAAAGAGAAGCGACCUCGCGAGAGCAAGCGGACCUCAUAAAGUAUGUCGUAGUCCGGAUUGGAGUCUGCAACUCGACUCCAUGAAGUCGGAAUCGCUAGUAAUCGUAGAUCAGAAUGCUACGGUGAAUACGUUCCCGGGCCUUGUACACACCGCCCGUCACACCAUGGGAGUGGGUUGCAAAAGAAGUAGGUAGCUUAACCUUCGGGAGGGCGCUUACCACUUUGUGAUUCAUGACUGGGGUGAAGUCGUAACAAGGUAACCGUAGGGGAACCUGCGGCUGGA